GGGGGCUGCCAUGGCCCACGGCCGCUCUCGGAAGCGAUCGCGGAGCAGGAGCAGGAGCAGGAGCAAUUCCCGGAGCAGGCAGGAGAGGAAGGAGAGGAAAAGGAGGAAGAGCAGCAAGGACUCACAGCGGGGCAGCAGCUCUCCAUCAAGGAAGAAGAUCUCUGGCUCUCAUGGACACAAGUCGAGCUUGGCAGCAGCCAAGGAAGAAAAGAAGAAGGAAGGAAAGGACAAAAAGAAGAGGAAGGCCAGUACUUCUUCCUCUGGAAAUUCUUCGUCCACCAGCUCUUCGUCGUCUUCCUCUUCCUCCAGCUCCUCUUCUGAUGACUCCAGUGACAGCGACUCCAAAAUGAAGAAGAGUCAAGACAGCAAAAAAAAGCGAGUGAAACAGAAAGACAAAAAGAAGAGGAAGAAGAAGAAGAAAAAAAUAAAGAAGAAAUCAAAAAAGAAGGCAAAGGAGAGGGCUAAGGAGGAGAAAGGCAAGGGAGAAGAAGUGCCUGGCCCCUCGCUGGAGCAGUGGCAGAAGGAAUCAGGGUUGGACCCUGGGCCAGUUCUGACAGAUGAGCAGAAAUCCCGGAUCCAGGCUAUGAAGCCGAUGACCAAGGAGGAGUGGGACGCGAGGCAGAGCGUCAUCAGGAGAGUGGUGGAUCCCGAAACGGGGAGAACCAGGCUCAUUAAAGGGGACGGGGAAGUCCUGGAAGAAAUUGUCAGCAAGGAGAGACACAAGGAGAUUAACAAGCAAGCCACACGUGGGGAUGGGCUGGCCUUCCAGGUGAGGACAGGGAUGCUGCAGUGAGGGCAGGCACCAGCCAGCCCAGGAGCCCGUCCUGCUGCCCUGGCAGCCCAGGGAGCCUCUGCCUCUGGACCAGCACCGUGUCAAGAUGUUCCCCAGGGGCCCUUUCCAGCUGCUCUCACAGGCCCGGGCAGUGCUGGGCCCAGGGCUGCUCUGAAGCAAACACCUACAAACUGUAAAAAAGAAAAGGACAAAUGGGUCCUGCAGGACUGAUCUCCAGUGGGUUUCCACAUUCUGUUCAUGGCUGUAACCCAAUUAAACUGGCACCUGCUUACAUUUUAUGACUUGUCCGUUUCUAGAGUAAUUCCCUCACCCCAAAAAAAAAGCCGACAGAGAAGAGCCUUCCCAUUUCUUUUAAUCUGUGUAACUCACAAUGAUACUGUACACAAAGCACACCAGGCAUUGGAACGAUGCACUAACAGCAAGGAGGAGAAGGAAGUUGUACAGAAGGUUUGCCACACACAAGCAAGUCAUCGGCAGGGCACAGGCAGGGCGGAGCCGGCGCCCUCGGGCAUCCCCCCCGCUGCUUCCCCGCGCACGGCUGGUACCCCUAGAGCAAUUUUUUAUAAAUAAAAUAUAACUAACAUUGUUGGAAUAUAAAAUUGACGGUCGAGGGUAUCAACAGGCAGAGGGAGGGGACCGUAAGGCUUCUAGAACUAAUAGGAAAUGCAGCAAACAGUGGCGAUACCUGAAGAAGGGGCUGCUACAGCAAGCACG